rnacentral:tmRNA from 1 species
GGGGAUGUACUGGUUUUGACGUAGUGAUUGGUAGAUCCGGAUUGCGAGUCCGAGAGCUGUUCUCGGUUAUCAACGGGCAAACUAAAUUAAAUGCUACAGAUAACGUAGUUUAUGCUAACUUUGGUCGCGAAAGCAGACUUGCUGCCUAAUUGCAGCAAUUAGCCCUCAUAGUCGACCAGCUUGCCGUCGAUUAUGAUGAAAUCAUGCAAGAUGCAGCACGCAAAUGAUGGUAUGCGUGUCAAGAUUACCAUUGGAGGUUAGGUUUCCGCAAAAAACCUUUGGCUCAUUUCAGGUUGGUUAAUUUCCGUAAUGAGCCGAGAUAAAAAUUAACUACACUCGUAGAUGUCAGUUUUUAUCCGCUAUGGACGCGGGUUCGACUCCCGCCAUCUCCA